rnacentral:tRNA from 1 species
GGGGCCCUAGUAAAAUAAUUACAUGUCCCUGUCAGUGCCAAAUUACAGGUAUACCUAAACCUGUGGACCCCA